AGUCUCAUUAAGCCAGGAUUUUUGCAGCAAACCUGUGAGCUGGACUGGUGGUCUUGUCAUAUCAUAAGUGAAUGGAAAAAGAUCAAUUCGGCCACAAGAGCUGUAAAUUACCAAUUCAUCUUUAAUGUGUUUUAAGCCUACCUCCAUGAGAAUCCAGCCAUUUAUUUCUUGAAGGAAAAUAGUUUUUCAUCCAAUAAGAAAUCCUUGAUAUUUUAGGAAGGUAUCACAAGCUUGUUCCUCAGAAAAGGCGUGACGAGGUCUCGCGGAGAAAAUCUCUACUAGAAGCCCACAUGAUUGAUAGGGCCUUGGAUUAAAGACCGAACCAUGACAUUUGCCUUCCAUCUCCUC